UGGGGAAUAUUGGGCAAUGGGGGCAACCCUGACCCAGCGACGCCGCGUGGGGGAAGACGGCCUUCGGGUUGUAAACCUCUUUUGUACGGGAAGAAGGAAGUGACGGUACUGUACGAAUAAGUCCCGGCUAACUACGUGCCAGCAGCCGCGGUAAUACGUAGGGGACGAGCGUCGUCCGGAAUUACUGGGCGUAAAGGGCGCGCAGGCUGUGCUGCAAGUCAGCUGUUAAAUGUCUGGGCUUAACCCGGGCAUGCGGUGGAGACUGCGGUGCUGGAGUGCGGUAGAGGCGAGUGGAAUUCCCGGUGUAGCGGUGAAAUGCGUAGAUAUUGAGAAGAACACCGGUGGCGAAGGCGACUUGCUGGGCAGCAACUGACGCUGAGGCGCGAAAGCGAGGGUAGCAAACGG
rnacentral:rRNA from 1 species